GCCCAUCAAAGAUAUCACUGAGGAAGCGCAAAGUAACUUAACUAGGGAUAUGGAAGGCAAUGUUCCAACUGCAUUGCAGAUACCGAUGAAAACACUGAUUCGAGAUGUAUCGAAAUUUCUAUCUCAACCGAUUGCUAUGAGAAGUGGAAUAGGUGGUGAAAGAUAUCCAUUAAAUUUUUUAACAGCUGUUAAAAAGUCAUUAGGGACGAG